rnacentral:rRNA from 3 species
UGGUAAUUCUAGAGCUAAUACAUGCUAAAAACCUCGACUUCGGAAGGGGUGUAUUUAUUAGAUAAAAAACCAAUGCCCUUCGGGGCUCCUUGGUGAUUCAUGAUAACUUAACGAAUCGCAUGGCCUUGUGCCGGCGAUGGUUCAUUCAAAUUUCUGCCCUAUCAACUUUCGAUGGUAGGAUAGUGGCCUACCAUGGUUUCAACGGGUAACGGGGAAUUAGGGUUCUAUUCCGGAGAGGGAGCCUGAGAAACGGCUACCACAUCCAAGGAAGGCAGCAGGCGCGCAAAUUACCCAAUCCCGACACGGGGAGGUAGUGACAAUAAAUACUGAUACAGGGCUCUUUUGGGUCUUGUAAUUGGAAUGAGUACAAUUUAAAUCCCUUAACGAGGAACAAUUGGAGGGCAAGUCUGGUGCCAGCAGCCGCGGUAAUUCCAGCUCCAAUAGCGUAUAUUAAAGUUGUUGCAGUUAAAAAGCUCGUAGUUGAACCUUGGGCCUGGUUGGUCGGUCCGCCUCGCGGCGUGCACUGAUCCGACCGGGCCUUUCCUUCUGGGGAACCGCAUGUUCUUCAUUGAGUGUGUCGGGGAUCCAGGACUUUUACUUUGAAAAAAUUAGAGUGUUCAAAGCAGGCCUAUGCUCGAAUACAUUAGCAUGGAAUAAUAGAAUAGGACGUGUGGUUCUAUUUUGUUGGUUUCUAGGACCGCCGUAAUGAUUAAUAGGGAUAGUCGGGGGCAUCAGUAUUCCGUUGUCAGAGGUGAAAUUCUUGGAUUUACGGAAGACUAACUACUGCGAAAGCAUUUGCCAAGGAUGUUUUCAUUAAUCAGUGAACGAAAGUUAGGGGAUCGAAGACGAUCAGAUACCGUCGUAGUCUUAACCAUAAACUAUGCCGACUAGGGAUCGGGCGAUGUUAUCUUUUUGACUCGCUCGGCACCUUACGAGAAAUCAAAGUUUUUGGGUUCUGGGGGGAGUAUGGUCGCAAGGCUGAAACUUAAAGAAAUUGACGGAAGGGCACCACCAGGAGUGGAGCCUGCGGCUUAAUUUGACUCAACACGGGGAAACUCACCAGGUCCAGACACAAUAAGGAUUGACAGAUUGAGAGCUCUUUCUUGAUUUUGUGGGUGGU